UACGAACUGUGCAAACGUUAUUCGGAAUCACUGGGCUUAAAGGGUGCGUAGGCGGCUGUCUAAGUAGGGUGUGAAAGCCCCCGGCUCAACCGGGGAAUUGCGCCCUAAACUGGACGGCUGGAGUGAGGCAGGGGUGUGUGGAACUUCCGGUGGAGCGGUGAAAUGUGUUGAUAUCGGAAGGAACGCCGGUGGCGAAAGCGACACACUGGGUCUCAACUGACGCUGAGGCACGAAAGCCAGGGGAGCAAACGGGAUUAGAAACCCCCGUAGUCC
rnacentral:rRNA from 1 species